CGGGUAAGUUCCGACCCGCACGAAAGGUGUAACGAUUUGGGCACUGUCUCAACCAGAGACUCGGUGAAAUUAUAGUACCUGUGAAGAUGCAGGUUACCCGCGACAGGACGGAAAGACCCCGUGGAGCUUUACUGCAGCCUGAUAUUGAAUGUUGGUACAGCUUGUACAGGAUAGGUAGGAGCCUUGGAAACCGGAGCGCCAGCUUCGGUGGAGGCAUCGGUGGGAUACUACCCUGGCUGUAUUGACCUUCUAACCCGCUGCCCUUAUCGGGCAGGGAGACAGUGUCAGGUGGGCAGUUUGACUGGGGCGGUCGCCUCCUAAAAGGUAACGGAGGCGCCCAAAGGUUCCCUCAGAAUGGUUGGAAAUCAUUCGCAGAGUGUAAAGGCACAAGGGAGCUUGACUGCGAGACCUACAAGUCGAGCAGGGACGAAAGUCGGGCUUAGUGAUCCGGUGGUUCCGCAUGGAAGGGCCAUCGCUCAACGGAUAAAAGCUACCCCGGGGAUAACAGGCUUAUCUCCCCCAAGAGUCCACAUCGACGGGGAGGUUUGGCACCUCGAUGUCGGCUCAUCGCAUCCUGGGGCUGUAGUCGGUCCCAAGGGUUGGGCUGUUCGCCCAUUAAAGCGGUACGCGAGCUGGGUUUAGAACGUCGUGAGACAGUUCGGUCCCUAUCCGUCGCGGGCGCAGGAAAUUUGAGAGGAGCUGUCCUUAGUACGAGAGGACCGGGAUGGACGCACCGCUGGUGUACCAGUUGUUCUGCCAAGGGCAUCGCUGGGUAGCUAUGUGCGGACGGGAUAAGUGCUGAAAGCAUCUAAGCAUGAAGCCCCCCUCAAGAG
rnacentral:rRNA from 1 species